GCUUACGGUCACACUACCCUGAGAACGCCCGAUCUCGUCUGAUCUCGUCUGAUCUCGGAAGCUAAGCAGGGUUUGGCCUGGUUAGUACUUGGAUGGGAGACCACCUGGGAAUACCAGGUGCUGUAAGCU
ensembl:rRNA 5S_rRNA 5S ribosomal RNA